rnacentral:rRNA from 1 species
AGUCACUGACAUUAGAUACCCCCUGUAGUCCAGGGUGUAAACGCUAGCAGACUUGGUGUUGGAGGCCCUUUGGGGGCAUUCAGUGCCGGAGAGAAGUUGUUAAGUCUGCUACUUGGGGAGUACGUCCGCAAGGAUGAAACUUAAAGGAAUUGGCGGGGGAGCACCGCAACGGGAGGAGCGUGCGGUUUAAUUGGAUUCAACACCGUAAAACUCACCAGGGAAGACUGUUACAUGAAGGCCGAGAUGAAGACUCUGCUAGAUUUUCAG